CUUAUGCUUUUAACUUACAGUUUAGGAUGUGAUUCUGUGCUUAAUGCCGUAGGACUGGAUAAUGCACUUGUGUUCAUUUUCCAGACUCACUUAGUGAAACCAGUGUCUGUGUGGGCAUUCUUUUUUUCAGGGUCUUUCCCUUACAGUUUAUUAGAGGAUAUUGAAAAGAAAAUCAUCCCUGGGAAAGUUAGGUGUAUCUUGGGGUUGGUUUUUGAUUUAGCUGUCCUCAAUUGAAAUUAAUUAAGUGAUGUUUCAUUUUCAAGGCAGCAUGUUUUGUCUUCCCAUUCCACCACAAGUAACAGUGGUCUAGUUCCCUUAAUGCCUUACGCUGUUUCCCACCUGCUCCUUUUACUCAGGCUGCCCUUCCCCAAAGCCCCUCCACAUUCCCCCUCUGCGCUGGAUCUCUCUUUUAUGAAACAGUGCGGUCUUCCCAGCAUUCCCUGAUCUAUCCACGUGCAGCGGACUCUCCUGUCCUUUGUGGCGUUACUGUACCCGUUCACCUCAUUUGUAGAGCUGUUGAAACUUUUCUGUUCUGAUUUGUUUUCAUGGAUCCUGUGCCUCUGGCAGAACAGAGAGGAGAAUCUGCCUUUUACUUGUACCGCCAGCUUCUCCCAGGAUAGGGCUUAUGUUCUGAUAGCUUCGGUAAAUAACUGUUGUCUACAUGACUGACUAAGCUUAUGCACAUGAUCUGAAGUUUGUUCCUGAUUUAUCUUGUUUUGUGUUCCUAGGAAGGGGCGACUAAGCCCGAAAUUACAAAACCGGAGUAUGCUACUGGGACUGUAGAAGUGGCUCCGCAGGAGCUGAAGGAUCAUAAAACACUGAGCUCUGUUGGUGGAGCACACGGAGCUUAUUAUACACUACCCGACGUGGGACCUGGCGCAGCUCCGGUGUGGCCCGGCAGCACCCGCCCACCUGCGGCGGCCUCGGAGGCCCAGAUGGUGUGUCAGUGUGCCACUUUACAGAAGAGAGAGGAAGAGAAUCUUCCUGGGAUGAGGUACAGUCUCUUGUUGUUAAUGUACUUGUAUGACUAUAUAAGUACCAGGGGAUUCUGAGACAUAAACCGGGGGUUGGUGUGAGUGUGCAUUUUCACGUUUGCAUCUGCUGAUGAGAAUUUUUGACUUAUGCUUUUAACUUACAGUUUAGGAUGUGAUUCUGUGCUUAAUGCCGUAGGACUGGAUAAUGCACUUGUGUUCAUUUUCCAGACUCACUUAGUGAAACCAGUGUCUGUGUGGGCAUUCUUU